rnacentral:lncRNA from 1 species
GAAAAAAUACUCUUCACCAUUUAUUAUUAUUUUAUACCUACUAAACUAGCCAAAAAAGGUGUCUUGGCUUUGAUUAGCUAUAUUAAUUAUAUAUAGAGAAGGACCAAUUAUACUGUGAUUAUCAUUUUACUUAUUCUAUAAUUCCUUUCAGAAUAAACCUGUAUAGGAGAAUUCAAACAUAUGGAAAAACUAAGUGCAUGAAUUUUUCUUCUUAGGGUCAUACAAUUAAUUAUAUUUUGAACUACUAAAACACUAAGAAACACUACAAUAUUUUUUUCCAGUAAUAAUACUCCUUCAUCAAUUGAUAACAACAGUGUGCAACCUUGCACUCUCAAAAGAUCGUUUAAAACACAAUAAUUUCCAUCCAACACCAAGAAUAAUAGAUUUCACUCCAACAAUCUGAAUUCACAGAAUUUCUGUAAUCACAGACUUCUUUUGUCCAAAUACACACACAACUCUCAAUAAACAACAAUCAUAAUCUUCCAUCCAUAAUCAAUCUUUCAAUAACUUCUUAUAUAAUUCAAUCACACAAUACUCUAAUUACAUAAUCAAU